CCACUGAGAUUCUGGGUGGGGCUGGUUGGUGUUGUUUGCUGUUGGAGAGGAUGGGAAUUGAGUGCACCCUUGGGGGGGCCCGCAGCUGUGGUACCAGCUGACAGUUACAAACACGCCUCGUGGACCGUGUUUUGUUACUAUAGUGUUCACCAUGGUGAUCAGAGGGCACCAGGAGAAAUGGAGCCCUUGGCCAGCGUGAGUCAUCACAGUGUAGGAGGGGAGACCCUGAAGGAGAGAGCCCACCUAAAUGGAUGCCUGCAGAUUGAAUUUCCAGAGGCUUAGGAGGAGGGAGUUCUCCAAUGUCGUGUUUCCAGGCCUCGCUCCGGAAGCCCUGUGUUCAGGAGGCCAUCAUUGAAGGUUUUCACAUGAGUUUAUGGGGGGCAAUCUUAAAAAAGCCAAAGCAGAUGCAUCAGGGGCCAUCAGCAGUUGUGUUUAUUUGACUGUUUGAUCCGGGAGCACCAACCUCUGGGCACGUGAAUGCCAGCAGGCACACCUUCUUCUCUAGAGUAGAGGUUUUCAGAUGCUGCAUCUUCUAAAUUGAGCCUCCUGUCAUACUAGUGCUGUGCUACAAAUCUUGCUUCGAGAAAAUUCUUAAGUUGUAGAACAUUUUAACAUUGAUGCCACAACACAGAGUGAUGCCUUGUAGAUGGAGCUUGCAGAUGGAGCCCAUUGACCCUCUCACCUACCCACCUACCUGCCUGGCUGUGCAUUGGUCGGAGGAAUUCUUAGUGUGAUGAUAUAACCUGUGUGGGAAAGUGUUCACGUUUGAAAUGCCUUAGCAAAUACUUAGAUGAAGAGACCGGCAAACUGAGAGGGAGGUCAUUGUGUUGUGCUACAGUCUGGGAGGGUACAAGUUGGUCAUGUCUAAAUUCUGCAUUAGAAAUGGCAGGUCUAGUUUGGGUAUUCCAAUCGCAUUGCAGAUCACUAAGAGAAAAGAAAGGUUGGGGUACUAAUAGUGAUCUUUGAUUCAUCUUGCUCUAUAUAUUUUUCAAUUUGAAUUUCACUUGAUUAGAUUUCUGAGUAAUCUUGGUGUUCAAAUGGGAAGACCCUGAGGUGACGGUUAUAGGAGGGGGAGGUCACAGCUUGGCACUGGUACUGGGAGGGGUGGGGGUGGAGAAAGGGAGGGAGCUGGUUAGGUAUAUGUUGCAGAGGGUGGGGGUGGUAGGGAAUGUGGGUCGAAGGGAAUUUUCCAGAGAAAAGAUCAGUAGGCAGAGAUCUGGGGAAUUUAAUAGAGCUCAUGGGCAAAGAAAAUGCUAGUUAAUGCUAGUAAAUUAUUAAUCCUAACUAAAUUGUUGCUUGGGAACUUUCUAGAGUGCUUAGAACUCUAAGUGCAAGGAAAAAAGUAAAAUUGUUUUGCUUUGCUGCAAGGUGGGAAAGACUGAAAAGGUGUAACUGAAAACCUGAAUAUCAGUCUCUUGAAAGAUGGGUGUGCAAAACUUGCAUCAGCAGGAGAUUAACAUCCUUCACUGCUUUGCAAGCUUCCUAAGUGGUUUAUCUGAAGCUGCGAAGGUGUGCGAUAUUCAGGAGCAGUAAGUCUUAGAAAAAGACUUUAAGUGUUCAAAUUGUGGGCUUUUAAAGCAUUUAAGUUUGAGAUUUUGAUGUACACUGAAGAUAAGAUUAGAUGUACUCUUCUGGGUUUGUAACUCAUAUUUUUGUUCACUAAGAUAUUUUGUGAUUGAAAAUUCUGAGCAAAGUGAAAAUGCAAUGAUUUCU